AAUAUGAAGGUUUUGGAUGGAAAGAUCGAGGCCCAGAAAUUCCAGCUCCAGGACUCUCAGUUCUUGGAGCUGGUUCAUCCGAGCCUGAUUGCCCAAAUGAACUGAUAUUAUAGCUGAUUACCAGGAACACAAUACUAAACAGAUUUAAAUGCGUCAGUUCAUAAAGUGUUCAUAAGCAAAGUCACUAUUCAUAGAAAAAAAAGAAAACUGACCAUCAUCUCCCUGACACAGCUGCAAAGACUUAUUGCUGUCAUGACUAAUAUAUGAAGAGGAGAAAUGAAAGUUGAAUUUACCUAUUUUUUUCUCA
rnacentral:lncRNA from 1 species